UAGGAAUGUCAACACAGAGAGCUUGCAAAUUCGCCUGAUGAGAACAAGAAUGUGGAAGUACAAACUCUAUGCACAGAAGUGACUGCAUAAGAAGAGUGUGCAGAACACAUGACUGGAUUGAUAGGGCAGACGUGCCCAAGGAGCAGCUCCCUUUUGAUAAAAUUGACUGGUAAUCAGAUAAAAAGCUAUGCUGCUUGAAGAAGGUGUUCAUUAGGUUGAAGCAUAUGAAGUUACUGAUGUAGACCUACCCUCAAACAGAGCAAGCAGCAGUUGAACAGUAAAGAAAAUACAACUCAUUUCUGACUGAACUUUCAAGAUCUGGAAUGAACUAAUCAAUGUCUUGACUCAUGACCUGCCCUUGCAGUGUCUAGUGGCAGAGGCUGAUUGAAAGUUUUGGCACUACCAAUGCAAUCACUGAGCAGAUCUGACCCACGCCAGAGAACGGGCAGUAACUCAAGAAGGCUGUUGACAUAAGAUGACUAUUCGUGAAACUGCCCUCCUGAUGAUGGUUUACGAAACAAACUUUUAGUAGAUUCCAAGGGCUACUAGUGAUGAUUUAGAGUCGAGUUGAAGUGGAUACAACUCUAUCUGGGAGUGAUUACAACAACUGCCAGUUGCCCCGGAAACUUGCUUGUUUCGCUGAAUGAUUAAGGUGAAAAUAAAUGCAGACCAAUUUAAAGCAUAAUUAAGAGUGUUGCAUUAACACACCCUUUGUGAUGGAAGUGCCAUCCUGACAGGUAGCGCUGUUCUGACGGCCCAGAUCUGCAGGGUCAGCAAUUGCACUCCGUGUUGGACUCCGUCACUGCCUUUCCACCGCCACAGGUGCCUUAUUAAUCCCAAGAGACUGAUAAUGAGGACACAGCCUGGGCCUCAAAGCUGGUGCUUCCGCUCUCACCGUGCUUCCUCGGGGGACUUGCACCAUGAAUGCCGCCUUUUGGAUUUUAGCAGUCAACACAAAAGCCCUUCUUCAUUUCCCAAGUGCUCCAGAUAGGCUGUUAGGAUAGGACCGAGUUCCUAACCAGCAGCCCGCUGUUACAAUCAAGCUUUCUGCGAUAAGGAUGU